UUUAGAAGUGUGCACCCAUAAAUGUAGGACCCUGACAACUCCGGUGGAACUUAGUGAUUGCCUGAAAUCCAUUAGAGAGCAUGCAUUUUCUUCAUCACCAUACCCUGUCAUAAUAACUCUUGAGGACCACCUUACAGCAGAUCUUCAGGCUAAAGUAGCCCAGUUGAUCACUCAAACAUUUGAAGAUAUGUUGUUUUAUCUCGAAUCUGAAUGUUUAAAAGAGCUCCCUUCACCAGAAGAAUUGAAGUAUUGGUUUAUUAUCUCAAACAAACCUCCAAAGGAGUUUCUUCAAGCUAAGAGUAGCAAGGAAAAGAUGGAGAAGUCACUCAAGGGAAAGGAUUCUGAUGAACAAGAUGAUGAUACGAGUGAUAGUGAUUCAAGUCAGCACAAUCAGGAUGAUGAGGAUCAU